UACGUAGGGGGCAAGCGUUGUCCGGAUUUACUGGGCGUAAAGGGCGCGUAGGCGGUCAGCACAAGUCAGUUGUGAAAUCUCCGGGCUUAACUCGGAAAGGUCAACUGAUACUGUGCGACUAGAGUGCAGAAGGGGCAACUGGAAUUCUCGGUGUAGCGGUGAAAUGCGUAGAUAUCGAGAGGAACACCAGUGGCGAAAGCGGCUUCCUGGUCCAGCACCGACGUUCAGGCACGAAAGCGUGGGGAGCAAACAGG
rnacentral:rRNA from 1 species